UACGGAAGGCAGCAGUGGGGAAUAUUGCACAAUGGGCGCAAGCCUGAUGCAGCCAUGCCGCGUGUAUGAAAAAGGCCUUCGGGUUGUAAAGUACUUUCAGUCGUGAGGAAGGUGUUAAGGUUAAUAACCUUAGCAAUUGACGUUAGCGACAGAAGAAGCACCGGCUAACUCCGUGCCAGCAGCCGCGGUAAUACGGAGGGUGCGAGCGUUAAUCGGAAUUACUGGGCGUAAAGGGCACGCAGGCGGUUAAUUAAGUUGGAUGUGAAAUCCCCGGGCUUAACCUGGGAAUGGCAUUCAAGACUGGUUAGCUAGAGUCUUGUAGAGGGGGUAGAAUUCCGAUGUGUAGCGGUGAAAUGCGUAGAGAUGUGGAGGAAUACCGGUGGCGAAGGCGGCCCCUGGACAAAGACUGACGCUCAUGUGCGAAAGCGUGGGGAGCGAAACAGGGAUUAGAUACCCGU
rnacentral:rRNA from 1 species